rnacentral:rRNA from 1 species
AGAACGAACGCUGGCGGCAGGCCUCAAACAUGCAAGUCUAGGGGGUGUAGCAAUACAUCACCGGCGGACGGGUGCGUAACGCGUGGGAAUAUACCUAUUGGUUCGGAACAACUGAGGGAAACUUCAGCUAAAUACCGGAUACGUCCUAACGGAGAAAGAUUUAUCGCCAAUAGAUUAGCCCGCGUUCGAUUAGCUAGUUGGUGGGGUAACGGCCCACCAAGGCGACGAUCGAUAGCUGUUCUGAGAGGAAGAUCAGCCACACUGGGACUGAGACACGGCCCAGACUCCUACGGGAGGCAGCAGUUGGGAAUCUUGGACAAUGGGGGAAACCCUGAUCCAGCCAUGCCGCGUGAGUGAUGAAGGCCUUCGGGUUGUAAAACUCUUUCGCGCACGACGAUAAUGACGGUAGUGCGAGAAGAAGCUCCGGCUAACUUCGUGCCAGCAGCCGC